AACGAACGCUGGCGGCAUGCCUAACACAUGCAAGUCGAACGAGACCUUCGGGUCUAGUGGCGCACGGGUGCGUAACGCGUGGGAACCUGCCCUUAGGUUCGGAAUAACUCCCCGAAAGGGGUGCUAAUACCGGAUAAUGUCUUCGGACCAAAGAUUUAUCGCCUUUGGAUGGGCCCGCGUUGGAUUAGCUAGUUGGUAGGGUAAAAGCCUACCAAGGCGACGAUCCAUAGCUGGUCUGAGAGGAUGAUCAGCCACACUGGGACUGAGACACGGCCCAGACUCCUACGGGAGGCAGCAGUGGGGAAUAUUGGACAAUGGGCGAAAGCCUGAUCCAGCAAUGCCGCGUGAGUGAUGAAGGCCUUAGGGUUGUAAAGCUCUUUUACCCGGGAUGAUAAUGACAGUACCGGGAGAAGAAGCUCCGGCGAACUCCG
rnacentral:rRNA from 1 species